UUGCACAGGUACAGACUAGGAGCCUUGUGGGACAGUGAUUAAAUGUAGUAUUGCAGGCAAACUCUCCCAUGGCUUGGAGUUCAAUCCUUAGAGGG